AUGCUUAGUAAGAGCGAUGAUAUGUUGGGUGAAGAAAUGGAUCAGUCAAAAGCAUUGGCUGAGAGUCUUCAGAGACUUCAUUCCAAGUUUGACGCCCUUCAAGAUCAACAUAAUGCUCUCUUGUCUGAUCACGAGAAGCUUUUUUCUGAAUGUCUUCAAAGAAAGCAGGAUCUUGAAAAGAUAAGAGUGGACUAUGAAGAUCUUCAGAAGGAGCGUGAUUCAUUACUUGCUCAACAAAUCAGUGUUACACAGGAUGGAUUUGAACCACCAUGUCUAAAAUGCAUUGAGCGUGAUAACGCUACCUCUGUUGCUGAAUGUUCCACUGCUGCUGCUGUUGCAUUGUCUUCAACUACUGAUGUGGAAACUAAUCCCUCUAUGGAGGAUACCACUACUAUUGCUGAUGAAAAUGCUAGGUUGAAGACAUUGCUUGAAACAGGGAUGUAUAAAAGUCUGAAAGGACAUCAGACACUUUGCGAUGUCCUCAAAGAGCAGAUUCUGAACUGGAAUCCUAGGAAAGAGGGUGUCGAGUUCGAGAGGAAAAUGAAUGUUGAUGGUUCUUACUGGAAGCCUGAGCAGUAUCCCAAAACCACAUGGGUUGCUGCAAAGGAACCUUCAGUGGAUCCAUCCACCUUAUCUGGCUUUACCUGUGCUAAUCCUAUUAUCAUGAUGCAAACUAUAAACUGUUCAAAAAUCAGAAUGGUGAAGUGUUUGCCAGGUAUAUUGGUACUAACUGCAGGAAUGGACCACCUAUGA
rnacentral:rRNA from 1 species